UACGUAGGUGGCAAGCGUUGUCCGGAUUUAUUGGGUUUAAAGGGUGCGUAGGCGGCCCUGUAAGUCAGUGCUGAAAUAUCCCGGCUUAACCGGGAGGGUGGCAUUGAUACUGCGGGGCUAGAGUACAGAUGAGGUAGGCGGAAUUGACGGUGUAGCGGUGAAAUGCUUAGAUAUCGUCAAGAACACCUAUAGCGAAGGCAGCUUACUAGGCUGUAACCGACGCUGAGGCACGAAAGUGUGGGGAUCAAACAGG
rnacentral:rRNA from 1 species